rnacentral:rRNA from 1 species
UGGGGAAUUUUGGACAAUGGGCGCAAGCCUGAUCCAGCCAUGCCGCGUGCGGGAAGAAGGCCUUCGGGUUGUAAACCGCUUUUGUCAGGGAAGAAAUCUUCUGAGUUAAUACCUCGGGAGGAUGACGGUACCUGAAGAAUAAGCACCGGCUAACUACGUGCCAGCAGCCGCGGUAAUACGUAGGGUGCAAGCGUUAAUCGGAAUUACUGGGCGUAAAGCGUGCGCAGGCGGUUUUGUAAGACAGAGGUGAAAUCCCCGGGCUCAACCUGGGAACUGCCUUUGUGACUGCAAGGCUUGAGUGCGGUAGAGGGGGAUGGAAUUCCGCGUGUAGCAGUGAAAUGCGUAGAUAUGCGGAGGAACACCGAUGGUGAAGGCAAUCCCCUGGGCCUGCACUGACGCUCAUGCACGAAAGCGUGGGGAGCAAACAGGAUUAGAUACCCUGGUAGUCCACGCCCUAAACGAUGUCAACUGGUUGUUGGGAAGGUUCCUUCUCAGUAACGUAGCUAACGCGUGAAGUUGACCGCCUGGGGAGUACGGCCGCAAGGUUGAAACUUAAAGGAAUUGACGGGGUCAUAGUUGUUUCCUG